rnacentral:misc_RNA from 1 species
GAUGAAGAACGCAGCGAAAUGCGAUACGUAGUGUGAAUUGCAGAAAUACGUGAACCAUCGAAUCUUUGAACGCAAAUUGCGCUCGAGGCUUCGGCCAAGAGCAUGUCUGCCUCAGCGUCGCUUUAAACCCUCACACCAUACUCCCUUGUGGAGCAUGUUUGUGGAACUGGCUUUCCCAGCUUUCCUUAAACCGAAGGCUGGGUUUGCUGAAGAGCAGAGGUUGAUGCAUGGACCCGUUAUGGGCCUCAGCUGGGUAGGUAAUUUAUUACUAAUGCUUUAGCUGUUGGCUUGGAUCUGUGCUGUCGACCCUAACCAGGAAUUGAGAAAGCCUUACCGCUUUCUCAAACUCUUCUAAUUUCGACCUGAGCUCAGGCAAGAACACCCGCUGAACUUAAGCAUAUCAAUAAGCGGAGGA